AUUGAACGCUGGCGGCAGGCCUAACACAUGCAAGUCGAACGAGUGGCGGACGGGUGAGUAAUGUAUGGGAAACUGCCCGAUGGAGGGGGAUAACUACUGGAAACGGUAGCUAAUACCGCAUACCAUCGGAUGUGCACAGAGGGGAUUAGGUAGUAGGUGGGGUAACGGCUAAACUAGGAGACGAUCCCUAGCUGGUCUGAGAGGAUGACCAGCCACACGGGAACUGAGCCACGGGCCAGACUCCUACGGGAGGCAGCAGUGGGGAAUAUUGGACAAUGGGCGAAAGCCUGAUGCAGCCAUGCCGCGUGUAUGAAGAAGGCUUUCGGUUUGUAAAGUACUUUCAUCGAGGAUGCGUUACUCAAAGAGGAAGCACCGGCUAACUCCGUGCCAGCCGCCGCGGUAAUAC
rnacentral:rRNA from 1 species